rnacentral:lncRNA from 1 species
CUCUUUCAUUAAGUGCCCUCUAGAUGAAUAAUGUUUGAAAUUGACCAAAUAAAAAUAAUGUUUAAAAUUUUUUUUUAAUUAAGUGCCUUCUAGCUACUAGAGGAACACACAUGGGACUCAACAGUAAUGAUGUGUAGGAGAUAUGAACUUACAGAAUACCUUGGAUUUGGGGUAGCCAUUUUCUGGAGAACCCACCCUGCAAGUUAGUGGAUACCAAAGGGCACAUCAAAUCCAAAUGGAGGCCAGGAAGAUAGAGAACCAGGGGAUAACUCGGGGAGCGGAUCUAGUACUGUUGUUCAUCACUCCACAUCCAAUGUGUUCCUCCCAAAGAAGGGGUUUAAACCAGAUGAUGCCCAAUAUUCCUUCCACUUCCAAUCUAUUCUUCUAUGAGUUUUUAAGCUGUGAGUCUGUGAGAAAGGUGUGGCCAGAAAACAAAUCUAACAAUUGAAAGAAAAAAGUUACGUCAACGUCAACUGUGCUUACUCUAGUAAGCUGUUUUCAAAAUUGACUGGCAUCUUCUUCCUGAACUGUAUUCCAACUGGCAAGUGCAAUGCAGAUGGCUUCCUGUUAGACUGCAAUGGGAUGUGUGCAAAAUUUGUAUCUUUAGAAGGUCAUUUCAUCUGCUGUCGGGUUGUAUAAGCGCAGUGAGGCAUUGAGAGAAAACAUGGGCAAGGGUUUGAGAUCACUUCUGUCUAGCAUGCACAUUCUUCGGAAUUUCGCCCAAAGUUUUCAUAAAAUGAAGCUGCACUUUUUAUGCUCAUAAAAGGAAAAAUCAGAGGACUUUUGUUCUCUAAAAGUUGAAGAGGGGGAGGUGGGGGUUUUUUCCACUCUGAUGAAAGACUUUUUCCCCCCCUACUACAACUCUGCAUUUAUGUAUCAUGGAAAUCAGUCUCAUCACUAGUAUUCCUGAAUUCUUUUAUUGUACCUGUGCCUCCACACACCAUUCCUCCAUCAAUUGAUUAAAAAAAAUACUGACUCCCAC